UACGGGGGGAGCAAGCGUUGUUCGGAUUUACUGGGUGUAAAGGGCGCGUAGGCGGUCAGCACAAGUCAGUUGUGAAAUCUCCGGGCUUAACUCGGAAAGGUCAACUGAUACUGUGCGACUAGAGUGCAGAAGGGGCAACUGGAAUUCUCGGUGUAGCGGUGAAAUGCGUAGAUAUCGAGAGGAACACCUGCGGCGAAGGCGGGUUGCUGGGCUGACACUGACGCUGAUGCGCGAAAGCCAGGGGAGCAAACGGG
rnacentral:rRNA from 1 species